rnacentral:rRNA from 1 species
UACAGAGGUCUCAAGCGUUGUUCGGAUUCAUUGGGCGUAAAGGGUGCGUAGGCGGCGCGGUAAGUCGGGUGUGAAAUCUCGGAGCUUAACUCCGAAACUGCAUUCGAUACUGCCGUGCUUGAGGACUGGAGAGGAGACUGGAAUUUACGGUGUAGCGGUGAAAUGCGUAGAUAUCGUGAGGAAGACCAGUGGCGAAGGCGGAUCUCUGGACAGUUCCUGACGCUGAGGCGCGAAGGCCAGGGGAGGCAAAACGGG